UAAGGAAUAUUGGUCAAUGGAGGCAACUCUGAACCAGCCAUGCCGCGUGCAGGAAGAAGGCCCUAUGGGUCGUAAACUGCUUUUGAACAAGAGGAAACCCCGGUACGUGUACUGGGUUGAUAGUAUUGUUAGAAUAAGCAUCGGCUAACUUCGUGCCAGCAGCCGCGGUAAGACGAAGGAUGCAAGCGUUAUCCGGAUUCAUUGGGUUUAAAGGGUGCGUAGGCGGACUGAUAAGUCAGUGGUGAAAUCUCUCGGCUUAACCGAGAAACUGCCAUUGAUACUGUUAGUCUAGAGUACAGAUGAUGUGGGCGGAAUAUGACAUGUAGUGGUGAAAUACUUAGAUAUGUCAUAGAACACCGAUUGCGAAGGCAGCUCACAAAACUGUAACUGACGCUGAGGCACGAAAGUGCGGGGAUCAAACAGGAUUAGAUACCCCUGUAGUCCCUGAGCGGGCUGGCAAGGCGCAU
rnacentral:rRNA from 1 species